CUCUGGUCAUUGCAGGGUCGGGUUGCACACCUCCUCAUUCUGCUGUGAUCAGCUCCAUAUUCUGCUGAAAUAAACAGAUACAGAACAAUAUGCUGUGUUGGAAAAGCCUGUGAUCUGUCCCUCUGGCAGACGUUAUUCCUUCUCCACAGAUUCAGGAUUUUAGCAGAUAUAGAAACCACUCAAUCUUGUUAGCACUGCUGCCUGAAAGUGGAAAUCAGAAGUCAGUUGGAGCUAUCUCUAAGGAGGUGAAGAGUCGUGCUGAAUCAAUAAGGAAAGAAACCCAAAUCAGAUACAGAUGGUUGAAAAUUGUGUGGAAAUCUUACAGAAG
rnacentral:lncRNA from 1 species